rnacentral:rRNA from 1 species
AAUUGGAGGGCAAGUCUGGUGCCAGCAGCCGCGGUAAUUCCAGCUCCAAUAGCGUAUAUUAAAGUUGUUGCAGUUAAAAAGCUCGUAGUUGAAUUUCGGGAUCAAUAUUUCGGUCAUGCCGCUGGUAUGCACUGUUAUCAUUGAUUUCUCACCUUCUAAAGAACCGUAAUGCCAUUAAUUUGGUGUUACGGGGAAUUAGGACUGUUACCUUGAAAAAAUUAGAGUGUUUAAAGCAGGCUCACGCUUGAAUACAUUAGCAUGGAAUAAUGAAAUAGGACAUCCGAUUCUAUUUUGUUGGUUUCUAGGAUCGAUGUAAUGAUUAAUAGGGAUAGUUGGGGGCAUUAGUAUUCAAUUGUCAGAGGUGAAAUUCUUGGAUUUAUUGAAGACUAACUACUGCGAAAGCAUUUGCCAAGGAUGUUUUCAUUAAUCAAGAACGAAAGUUAGGGGAUCGAAGACGAUCAGAUACCGUCGUAGUCUUAACCAUAAACUAUGCCGACUAGGGAUCGGAUGAUGUUAAUUUUUUAAUGACUCAUUCGGCGCCUUACGGGAAACCAAAGUGU